UAUAUAUAUAUCAAAUCUUUUUUUCCUACCGAGCCCCGGAAGGGACAUGUCCGUAUGGCGAAGCGACAACGAAGGACACUCACCCGGACGAGAAUUUUAUUGAGUUUUAUUUUAAAAUCGGCCUGAAACACACAGACAUUCAAGCAGUGCGAUGCGCUAAGAGUCUGCCAUGCAGACCAGCGAUCCUGAUAAUGUUGUCGGCCUUGGAUGAUGAGGUCCAGUUACCAGGAGCACUAGUCUGCAGCUUACUGGUUCCGUCUUGCAGCUCCUCCACGCUGUCCUCCUCUCUACAGACCAAAUCAAGAAAAGGGAACCAGGAAGCUGCUGUGGAUCCUCUGCAGUAUCUGGAGAGGUCAGAGGAACGUUUCUUGGAACAGAUUGGAAGACACCAAGACGUGACCUCUGCCAUGCUCCAGAACAUCCAGAAGAUGAAUGAAAACCUUGGUUGCACUGAUGGGACGCAUGGUGUCGGUGCUGGAGCAACUGUCCCAGAAUUAAACUGCAUUGUUGACUAUUGGCUUUUCUAGAAAAUAAAUCUUUUUAGUACUUCA